UUCGCAAUGCCCGAAAGGGUGACGAAGCGACGCCGCGUGUGGGAAGAAGGCCUUCGGGUUGUAAACCACUGUCGGGAGUUAAGAAAUGCAAGGAUAUUAAUAGUGUCUUUGUUUGACUAAGGCUCCGGAGGAAGCCACGGCUAACUCUGUGCCAGCAGCCGCGGUAAUACAGAGGCGGCAAGCGUUGUUCGGAAUUAUUGGGCGUAAAGAGCACGUAGGCGGCUAUGUAAGUCGGUUGUGAAAGCCUUCCGCUCAACGGAAGAACAGCAUCCGAUACUACAUGGCUUGAGUGCGGGAGGGGAGAGUGGAACUUCUGGUGGAGCGGUGAAAUGCGUAGAUAUCAGAAGGAACGCCGGCGGCGAAAGCGGCUCUCUGGCCCAUAACUGACGCUGAGUGUACGAAAGCUAGGGGAGCAAACGGGAUUAGAUACCCCGGUAGUCCUAGCCGUAAACGAUGGGCACUAAGUAGAGGGGUUUU
rnacentral:rRNA from 1 species